GACGUAGGGCGCGAGCGUUGUCCGGAUUUAUUGGGCGUAAAGAGCUCGUAGGCGGCUUGUUGCGUCGACUGUGAAAACCCACGGCUUAACUGCGGGCUUGCAGUUGAUACGGGCAGGCUAGAGUUCGGUAGGGGAGACUGGAAUUCCUGGUGUAGCGGUGAAAUGCGCAGAUAUCAGGAGGAACACCGGUGGCGAAGGCGGGUCUCUGGGCCGAUACUGACGCUGAGGAGCGAAAGCGUGGGGAGCGAACAGG
rnacentral:rRNA from 1 species